rnacentral:rRNA from 1 species
UACAGGGGGUGCAAACGUUGCUCGGAAUUACUGGGCGUAAAGCGUGCGUAGGCGGUUCGCUGUGUCCGAUGUGAAAGCCCCGGGCUUAACCUGGGAAUGGCAUUGGAAACUGGCGGGCUUGAGUGCGGCAGAGGGGGGUGGAAUUCCGCGUGUAGCAGUGAAAUGCGUAGAGAUGCGGAGGAACACCGAUGGCGAAGGCAGCCCCCUGGGUCGACACUGACGCUCAGGCACGAAAGCGUGGGGGAGCAAACAGG